rnacentral:lncRNA from 1 species
GGGGGAGGCAGCGCAGCCCCUGGGCGCAGCGCUCGGUGUAGACGCCGCACGACUGCCCCUCGGCCAGGGCGCAGGUCAUGCAGCAGCCGCAGCCCGGCUCCUUGACCAGCUCGCAGCCCAGGGGGCUGGGGGGGCACAUGGAGAGGGCUUUCUCGUCGCAGGGCUCGCAGUGCACGAAGGAGCCCAGGCUCUGGGCCGGCCCCGCAUAGGCGGCCAGCAGCAGGAGGACCGCGGGAGCGAGCCUCAGUGCUUUGAACGCCUCCUGCUCCAUCACAGUGACUGCUCAAGGCAGGACACCUGAUCCUAUCGGAAUCCACCCACGGAUAAUCCAAGACGGAGGAGAAGCAUCUCCAUGGCACCUCACUCUGAUUUGCGAGGAUUUGGCCAGAGAAACUGUUCUCAAGAGUGUGAAUUAGGUGGCAGCUACUAUUUUAUGGUACCUCGCUAUCCACUUUGUAAGAAAACAAAAAGAACACAUGAUGAGGCUCUGGGUCAGCCAGGAUUCUAGAUUCUGCUGCCAGACACAUCUUACAAGGGUAGAGUGCUUGUUUCCUCAUCCCAACCCCAAGCUUCUCCUCAAAGAGUCUCCGAGAGCAGAGGGAGCACAUCCCCUGACACCUCGCACAUGACAGUUGCUUCAUCAGUGCUGGUUGUGCUCCUGAGAACUCAGCAUGGAGAGAGGCCUAGUCCCCGCUCCCCUGCUCCCAAUUGCUCUGUGACUCAUUCUCACGGCUCGCCCUUCAGGUUCUCGUUCUUGAAUUUCUCCUGCUCCCUCCCACUCCCAGUCCUUUGCCAUGUCUCCCCUGUGCCUGGAACACUUUUUGAUGCAGGUCACCUCCAGGACUCUGCCACUUUCAAGUUGAGUGUUCCAGGUAGGUCACUGAACCCCUCUGAGUUUCAGUGUCUUUAUCUGUAAAGAUAAAAACUAGACAUAACCUUUGGCUGACUGGGAGAGUUGGGAUUGGAUAAGGCAAGUACUGAGUCCAAGGCCUGGCUCUGAGUCCCUGCCCCAGGGACAGCAGCUCCUGUGAUUUUGGUUCAUCAUGGUAGGUCCCUCCUUCUCUCUCUCUUCUUGGGAACUGCCACCAUCCUUUCUGUUCUUUAACCUGCUUCUCCGCCAAUAAAGGCAGAGUGGAACACUC